GUCACUUUGCCGGAGUGGUUAACGGGAUCGCCUGCUAUCUUAGCAUUUCAGCGGUUGUGCUUUGCACGCGAGUGUUCGAAUCGCUCAGGUGACG
rnacentral:tRNA from 1 species